CGCUCAUAUCAUCUAUGUACUUACCAUAAUCAUUUAUAAAAAUACUCCAACAAAUAUAAAUACCAAAAUCAAUAUUGAUUAAAAUAAAACUAGUAGUAAAUAUUGAGAAUUACAAAGUUCAUAGUCAAUAUAUAAAAAGAAUACAAUCCUACAUUAUAAGCUCAAAAUACUCAGUCCGACUAAUUAGGCAAAUCAAAGAAGUUCUAAGAUAGGUCCUCUCCUAAUUUUUGGCAUCUUUAUAAAUGUUAUCCUGAAAACUGCAUCCUUAAAAGCUUUUAUUGCUUUCAUAUAAACUUCGUUGGACACUCCUUCCAUGUUGUUUAAGAUGUUGAAACACACCAUAUUUGAAUAAGGAUCUGGACUAAUGACUUCACUAGUGCCCUCGUGAUUAGAUGAUUUUUCUUGGAUGUGCGCAAGCUUUUCUUUAAGGUAUAGCAUCCUUAUUUCUGUUUCCUCAUUCCUCAUACUAACAGUAGAUGACCAUUGAGCCAUACAUUUCUCAAGUUUUUCUCUUUUAUUGAUUUUAGGUUCCUUAUGUCGAUGUUUGUUAGGUGUAGUAUCAUCACGUUGACGAAUAUUUGAAACUUCAUCGUCAUCAUUCUCCACAUGUACAUGCACUCCCCUGCUCAAAAACUCAUCUUCUACCCUUCUUUCUUCCUCUGAAGUUGGAGGAAGCUAAGUAGAAACAUGGCCCAGACUUUCAGUAACUGUAGUCCCGCUAAAAUCUCUCCAAGCAAUUCGUAAUGCUUAUAUCCUUCCCUCCUAAAUGUCUUAUAGUCGCUCUUGUUUAUCUACAAUAUAAAAAAAACCUACAUUAAUAGUGAAGCAAAAUGUUAAACAAAAAAUGAUAUCAUAAAUAAGUAAUGCUAAAAAUUUUCUUUUACAACACAAAUCAUGAAAAAAAGUUGCCAAACUUCUUCUGUGGCAUUCACUUGGUUGGUAUUUGGAUCCCAUAUAACACCCGUAUGCCCUAAAAGGUCAUAGAACAAGCGAUGCAUCUUACGCAAACGAUUCCACUUACCCUUCAAUUUCUCUAUCCCGUAAACAGAUUUUGUGGCAACAAUCAUAUCUUGAUUGAUCUUGCCCCAAUCGUCUUUUGUGAACGUUGAACAUUGCAACUUCCCAGCUCGUGGCUCGUCCAAAAAAAAAAAAUUAUUUCAGUGACCAGAACGAUCACUGAACUUCCGUUCGGUCACUUUUGACCAAACGGUCAUUGAACUUUGCUUUGUCAGUGAUCGUUUUGGUCCCUGAUAAUUUUUUUUCAAAUUUCAUUUUCUUCCUAUAAAUACCCAUCAAUUACAACAUUUUUUCUGACCAAACUUACUAUCAAUCUCUUAUUCUCUACUAUACUCUCUACAACUCAAUUAUUAUCAAUAUUAUUCAUUCAUUCUCAUUUCUAUACUCUUCUACAUUUUAUAUUCAUAUCAUUAAAUU
rnacentral:lncRNA from 1 species